AACUGUGCUCCUGGGGCCCAGACAGGGCCUGUCGCUUCCCAGUGGAUUCCUUUUUCACUCGAGCAAGUCAGAUUUGUUUUCCAUAUUCUCCAACCCGGCAUCAUCCUGGAAGUGAAUGUGAGAUGAGAAGACAGCCAAGGCAUGGCCCCUGAGGGUCAGCAGACCGGCAAGAAAAGAGGAGCCUGCAGAGGAGAUAGAAAAGGAGGCUGUUGUGAAAGGUCCUGCUGCUUGAAUCAACUGUCAAAGGCAUCAACAGUCCCCAGUCAUGUUUCCAGAAAGCCAGUAGACAACUGGAAUUAUUUGCUGAGAUGACUGACUGACUGAUGGACUCACUGGCUCCUGUGGUGCAUUUCUUUGGCAAGAGGAUCUACAGUUCUCACCAGAUUCUCAAAGGAGUCUACGCCUGAAAACACGAGAUUCACCGAUAAGGUUCAACUUCCUCACUUACUAGAUGGAAAACUGAGAGGCCCAAAGGAGGAAAAGCAGUUGCCUCAAGACAAACAGCAGAGAUAUCAAAACCGAAGGACCUAAAAGAUCACCAGGAGGCGAGGGCUGGU
rnacentral:lncRNA from 1 species